UCGUCAGGUAAGAUAAUCCUUACCUGCUCCUUCUUUGGAGGGAAGAUUAGAGCAUGAUGAUUGGAGAAAAAAAAUUACAGAU
rnacentral:snoRNA from 1 species